GAGAUUGACAACAUUGACAUCUACAAUGUGUUUACAUACAGACCUAAAUGUCCAUCUAAAUUAAUUGAUCCAUAUUCAACAGUGGAGGAGCUCUAUUCAAAAAGUAAUAACGUUCGUGAUUCUACAGAGAAAAACGAUAAAAAUGUAUAUAAAAAAUGUACAAAGAAUUGUACAGGACUUCAAAACUCUCGCGGCAAAGAAACCAAUGCACAUAGACAAAAUAAAGCUCCAGCACUGUCAAAGGAAACUACAAAUCCUACACAGAUAAAGAGAGUUGUUUUCAAUGAUUCACAAUACACAUUAGUCAAUAAAGAAGGUGAAAAAAUCAAGACUCAGAAUUAUCAGGACGUUUACUCUAAUGUGGACGUAAUCAAAACCGGAAGUACCACAUCACUGGCAUCAACAGUAAAUCAUUUACCUACAAGUUUAAAGAGAGUCAUUUUCAAUAACAAAGAUUACACCUUGGUGGAAAAGCCUCCUAAAUUAAAAGGCACCAGCAAAGAGAAAUUAUUAAAUGACAUUGACUCGAAUGAUGCUGAAGUUGAUGCAAUCAAGUGUUCAAGCGUAUUCGCUCAGUAUAAAUAGAACAUUUUGACAUCAUAUUAUACAGAAAACAACAUGGAUUCAAAAAAGUUCACAGAGAUAUUCUGAAUUUAGU
rnacentral:sRNA from 1 species